CAGGUAAACAGUGAGUCGGCAGAUGUUUACAGGUGAACAGUGAGUCGGCAGAUGUUUACAGGUGAACAGUGAGUCGGCAGAUGUUUACAGGUGAACAGUGAGUCGGCAGAUGUUUAUGUUUACAGGUAAACAUUUUGGACAGAGGUAUUAUUGAUAUCCUCGAUGUGUUCUCACCUCUCGGCCGGUCAGAGUGUGUCGGGCCAGU